ACCGUGAAACUGCGAAUGGCUCAUUAAAUCAGUUAUCGUUUAUUUGAUAGUACCUUACUACUUGGAUAACCGUGGUAAUUCUAGAGCUAAUACAUGCUAAAAACCCCGACUCCGGAAGGGGUGUAUUUAUUAGAUAAAAAGCCAAUGCCCUUUGGGGCUCUUUGGUGAUUCAUAGUAACUUAACGGAUCGCAUGGCCUUGCGCCGGCGACGGUUCAUUCAAAUUUCUGCCCUAUCAACUUUCGAUGGUAAGGUAUUGGCUUACCAUGGUUUCAACGGGUAACGGGGAAUUAGGGUUCGAUUCCGGAGAGGGAGCCUGAGAAACGGCUACCACAUCCAAGGAAGGCAGCAGGCGCGCAAAUUACCCAAUCCCGACACGGGGAGGUAGUGACAAUAAAUACUGAUACAGGGCUCUUUUGGGUCUUGUAAUCGGAAUGAGUACAAUUUAAACCCCUUAACGAGGAACAAUUGGAGGGCAAGUCUGGUGCCAGCAGCCGCGGUAAUUCCAGCUCCAAUAGCGUAUAUUAAAGUUGUUGCAGUUAAAAAGCUCGUAGUUGAACCUUGGGCCUGGCUGGCUGGUCCGCCUCACCGCGUGUACUGGUCCGGCCGGGCCUUUCCUUCUGGAGAGCCCCAUGCCCUUCACUGGGUGUGUGGGGGAACCAGGACUUUUACUGUGAAAAAAUUAGAGUGUUCAAAGCAGGCCUUUGCUCGAAUACGUUAGCAUGGAAUAAUAGAAUAGGACGUGCGGUCCUAUUUUGUUGGUUUCUAGGACCGCCGUAAUGAUUAAUAGGGAUAGUCGGGGGCAUCAGUAUUCAAUUGUCAGAGGUGAAAUUCUUGGAUUUAUUGAAGACUAACUACUGCGAAAGCAUUUGCCAAGGAUGUUUUCAUUAAUCAGUGAACGAAAGUUAGGGGAUCGAAGACGAUCAGAUACCGUCGUAGUCUUAACCGUAAACUAUGCCGACUAGGGAUCGGGCGAUGUUUCUAUUUUGACUCGCUCGGCACCUUACGAGAAAUCAAA
rnacentral:rRNA from 1 species